UUGCCCUAGUAACGGCGAGUGAAGCGGCAACAGCUCAAAUUUGAAAUCUGGCUCUUUUAGAGUCCGAGUUGUAAUUUGCAGAGGGCGCUUUGGCUUUGGCAGCGGUCCAAGUUCCUUGGAACAGGACGUCACAGAGGGUGAGAAUCCCGUACGUGGUCGCUAGCUAUUGCCGUGUAAAGCCCCUUCGACGAGUCGAGUUGUUUGGGAAUGCAGCUCUAAAUGGGAGGUAAAUUUCUUCUAAAGCUAAAUAUUGGCCAGAGACCGAUAGCGCACAAGUAGAGUGAUCGAAAGAUGAAAAGCACUUUGGAAAGAGAGUCAAACAGCACGUGAAAUUGUUGAAAGGGAAGCGCUUGCAGCCAGACUUGCUUGCAGUUGCUCAUCCGGGCUUUUGCCCGGUGCACUCUUCUGCAGGCAGGCCAGCAUCAGUUUGGGCGGUGGGAUAAAGGUCUCUGACACGUUCCUCUCUUCGGGGAGGCCAUAUAGGGGAGACGUCAUACCACCAGCCUGGACUGAGGUCCGCGCAUCUGCUAGGAUGCUGGCGUAAUGGCUGUAAGCGGCCCGUCUUGAAACACGGACCAAGGAGUCUAACAUCUAUGCGAGUGUUUGGGUGUCAAGCCCGAACGCGUAAUGAAAGUGAACGGAGGUGGGAACCCGCAAGGGCGCACCAUCGACCGAUCCUGAAGUUUACGGAAGGAUUUGAGUAAGAGCAUGGCUGUUGGGACCCGAAAGAUGGUGAACUAUGCUUGAAUAGGGUGAAGCCAGAGGAAACUCUGGUGGAGGCUCGCAGCGGUUCUGACGUGCAAUCGAUCGUCAAUUUGGGCAUA
rnacentral:rRNA from 1 species